rnacentral:rRNA from 1 species
GAUGAACGCUGGCGGCGUGCUUAACACAUGCAAGUCGAACGAACGACUAUUAACAGAACCUUUCGGGGCGAAGAAUAUAGAAGUUAGUGGCGGACGGGUGCGUAACGCGUGGGUAAUCUGCCUUUGUCAAAGGAAUAACUAUUCGAAAGAAUAGCUAAAACCGUAUAACAUAUUAAUAGGGCAUCCUAAUAAUACCAAAACGAUAGUGGACAAAGAUGAGCCCGCGUCUGAUUAGCUAGUUGGUGAGAUAAAAGCCCACCAAGGCAACGAUCAGUAGCCGACCUGAGAGGGUGAACGGCCACAUUGGAACUGAGACACGGUCCAAACUCCUACGGGAGGCAGCAGUGGGGAAUAUUGCACAAUGGGGGGAACCCUGAUGCAGCAACGCCGCGUGAGUGAAGAAGGCAUUCGUGUCGUAAAACUCUGUAGUAGGGGAAGAAAGAAAUGACAGUACCCUAAAAGAAAGCC